rnacentral:rRNA from 1 species
UGGAUCCAGACUUUGAUUCUGGCUCAGGAUGAACGCUAGCGGCAGGCUUAACACAUGCAAGUCGAGGGGCAGCGAGCGGGUAGCAAUACCUGCGUCGGCGACCGGCAGACGGGUGCGUAACGCGUAUGCAACCUACCUUAUACAGGAGGAUAACCUUUCGAAAGGGAGACUAAUACUCCAUAGCAUUUCCUUUGGGCAUCCAAGAGAAAUUAAACAAGCGAUUGGGUAUAAGAUGGGCAUGCGUAGCAUUAGUUAGAUGGUGGGGUAACGGCUCACCAUGGCGAUGAUGCUUAGGGGUUCUGAGAGGAAGGUCCCCCACACUGGUACUGAGAUACGGACCAGACUCCUACGGGAGGCAGCAGUGAGGAAUAUUGGUCAAUGGUCGGAAGACUGAACCAGCCAUGCCGCGUGCAGGAAGAAGGUCUUAUGGAUUGUAAACUGUUUUUGUACGGGAGUAAUAAGGUGUUUGCGAACGCUGAUGAGAGUACCGUACGAAUAAGGAUCGGCUAACUCCGUGCCAGCAGCCGCGGUAAUACGGAGGAUUCGAGCGUUAUCCGGAUUUAUUGGGUUUAAAGGGUGCGUAGGCGGUCAUAUAAGUUUGAGGUAAAGGGCUAUUGCUUAACGAUGGUAUGCCUUGAAUACUGUAUGACUUGGAUUUGAGCGGAGCAGGCGGAAUGAAUCAAGUAGCGGUGACAUGCAUAGAUAUGAUUCAGAACACCGGUCGCGAAGGCAGCUUGCUAGGGCAAUAUUGACGCUGAUGCACGAAAGCGUGGGUAUCGAACAGGAUUAGAUACCCUGGUAGUCCACGCUGUAAACGAUGAUAACUAGAUGUUGGCGAUAUAAUGUCAGCGUUGGAGCGAAAGUGAUAAGUUAUCCACCUGGGGAGUACGAUCGCAAGGUUGCAACUCAAAUGAAUUGACGGA